CUUUUGUGAAGUCUGGUGAUCAACUUACUGAUGUCUUCACUAAAGGGUUGAGUGGAAAGAUGUUUCAUCCUAAUUUGCUCAAGUUGGGCAUGUGUGAUAUCUAUGCACCAACUUGAGGCGGAGUAUU